CGGGGCGUAGCUCAGUUGGUUUAGAGCGCUGCCUUGACAGGGCAGAGGUCAUUGGUUCGAAUCCAAUCGUCUCGA
rnacentral:tRNA from 1 species